UUUAAAUGUAGCUGUGGGUUUCUACGUCUAACAUUUCACCAUCCAUCUUAUUUGAAUUUUUUUUAUGAUUAGUAUUUUUGUUAUUAUUAGAUUAUAAAAUGUGAAUAAUACUUUAUGUGUGACUUUUUUUAUAAACUUUUAAAAUAAGACGGAUGGUCAAACGUUCCACACAAAAACCCACAACUAGACUUAAA
rfam:Oryza barthii chromosome 9, whole genome shotgun sequence.